UGGGGAAUUUUGCACAAUGGGGGAAACCCUGAUGCAGCGACGCCGCGUGAUUUAGAAGGCCUUCGGGUUGUAAAAAUCUUUUUUACGGGAUGAAAAUGACAGUACCGUAAGAAUAAGGUCCGGCUAAAUACGUGCCAGCAGCCGCGGUAAUACGUAUGGACCGAGCGUUGUCCGGAAUCAUUGGGCGUAAAGGGUACGUAGGCGGCCUAGUAAGUUAGAAGUUAAAGAAUAUAGCUCAACUAUAUAAAGCUUUUAAAACUGCUAGGCUUGAGAGAUGGAAGGGAAAGUGGAAUUCCUAGUGUAGCGGUGAAAUGCGCAGAUAUUAGGAAGAAUACCGGUGGCGAAAGCGACUUUCUGGUCAUCAUCUGACGCUGAGGUACGAAAGCGUGGGUAGCAAACAGG
rnacentral:rRNA from 1 species